UUCAAAUACUAGUAUAUUUUUGAAAAUUAAAUAAAUAAUAAUUAAAUAAAGUAAUUCUUUGGUCAAAUAGAAUAAAAUCUUUGAAAAUGAAAAAAAAUCUGUUAUUAUUAAGUAGAUCUAUGGUCAGUGAAAAAUUAAAUUUGUGAUAGACUAGUCAAAUCUAAAUAUGUUAAAAGUUGUUGAAUUUUUUUUUAAUUCAUAUGACAUAAUUAAUAGUUCAAUAGGUCAGACCACCGCCCCGUCAAUAUUCCAUAUUUAUAUAUUAUUAUCAUAAUUACAGUCAAUUUUCCAAAAAUAUAAUAA
rnacentral:lncRNA from 1 species